AUGGCUGGACCACAUCUUUACCAAGUGACAAGUGAAGAGAAAACAUAUGCUGUUAACCUGCAGAAAUACACUUGUGGGUGUAGGAAGUGGGAUAUGACAGCAGUGCCUUGCAAUCAUGCUGUCUCUGCCAUACACAAAGCUAAGCUACAGCCAGAGGACUUUGUUCAUGAUUUUUUAAAAAAACCAAUGUACAAGGCUGCAUAUAGUCCCAUAAUCUAUCCAGUACCUAGCCCUGACAUGUGGCCAAAGACAAACAGUAGGGACAUUGACCCUCCAGUCUUCAAAGAACACAAAGGCAGAGCACAAACUAAGAGACGAAAGGGCAGACAUGAGAAGCCAGCUCCAAAAGACACUUCAAGGAUGGCCUCAAUCACUUGUUCUAAUUGCAGCAAAGUUGGCCAUAGGUACACCAACUGCCAUGUUGCUUUGAAGCCUGCACUAGCCAUGAGAAAGAAUAGACAUGAGCCAAGCACCUCUUCUUAUCCACCUGAUGCUGCUACUGCACCAGCACCAGCAAGAAGGGCUGCAUCUACUGCCACUGCACCAGCACCAGCAAGAAGAACUCCAUCUUCUGCCACUAUACCAUCAACAAGAUCUGCUACUGCUGCAAAGGGUAAGGCUACAGCCACUAGGGCUUCAACUGCUGCAAAGGGUAAGGCUACAGCCACUAGGGCUUCAACUGCUACAAAGGGAGCAAGGGCAGCUUUCUUGCCUCCAAGACCAAACAGUGGUUCCCAGAGAGUCAGAAAGCCAACCCAAAAGAUCAAGGACUACCUGACUGCUUCUGGUGCAGCAUGGGAUUGA
rnacentral:rRNA from 1 species